rnacentral:rRNA from 1 species
UACGAAGGGACCUAGCGUAGUUCGGAAUUACUGGGCUUAAAGAGUUCGUAGGUGGUUGAAAAAGUUGGUGGUGAAAUCCCAGAGCUUAACUCUGGAACUGCCAUCAAAACUUUUCAGCUAGAGUAUGAUAGAGGAAAGCAGAAUUUCUAGUGUAGAGGUGAAAUUCGUAGAUAUUAGAAAGAAUACCAAUUGCGAAGGCAGCUUUCUGGAUCAUUACUGACACUGAGGAACGAAAGCAUGGGUAGCGAAGAGGAUUAGAUACCCUCGUAGUCCAUGCCGUAAACGAUGUGUGUUAGACGUUGGAAAUUUAUUUUCAGUGUCGCAGCGAAAGCGAUAAACACACCGCCUGGGGAGUACGACCGCAAGGUUAAAACUCAAAUGAAUUGACGGGGACCCGCACAAGUAGUGGAGCAUGUGGUUUAAUUCGAAGAUACGCGCAGAACCUUACCAACACUUGACAUGUUCGUCGCGACUCUAAGAGAUUAGAGUUUUCGGUUCGGCCGGACGAAACACAGGUGCUGCAUGGCUGUCGUCAGCUCGUGUCGUGAGAUGUUGGGUUAAGUCCCGCAACGAGCGCAACCCUCACUUUUAGUUGCCAUCAUUAAGUUGGGCACUCUGAAAGGACUGCCAGUGAUAAGCUGGAGGAAGGUGGGGAUGACGUCAAGUCCUCAUGGCCCUUACGUGUUGGGCUACACACGUGCUACAAUGGUAUCUACAACAGGAAGCAAGACGGCGACGUUAAGCAAAUCCUUAAAAGAUACCUCAGUUCGGAUUGCACUCUGCAACUCGAGUGCAUGAAGCUGGAAUUACUAGUAAUCGUGGAUCAGCGUGCCACGGUGAAUGCGUUCCCGGGUCU